CUGCGUGGAAGGGCCAUCGCUCAACGGAUAAAAGCUACCCUGGGGAUAACAGGCUUAUCUCCCCCAAGAGUCCACAUCGACGGGGAGGUUUGGCACCUCGCUGUCGGCUCAUCACAUCCUGGGGCUGCAGUAGGUCCCAAGGGUUGGGCUGUUCGCCCAUUAAAGUGGUACGCGAGCUGGGUUCAGAACGUCGUGAGACAGUUCGGUCCCUAUCCGUCGCAGGCG
rnacentral:rRNA from 1 species